rnacentral:tRNA from 1 species
GCCUGGGUGGCUCAGUCAGUUGAGUGUCUGACUUCAGCUCAGGUCAUGAUCUCGCAGUCUGUGAGUUCGAGCCCUGCUUCGGGCU